rnacentral:rRNA from 1 species
CGGGGUGAGUAAUGUAUGGGGAUCUGCCUGAUGGCGGGGGAUAACUACUGGAAACGGUAGCUAAUACCGCAUAAUGUCUGCGGACCAAAGCGGGGGACCUCCGGGCCUCGCGCCAUCAGAUGAACCCAUAUGGGAUUAGCUAGUAGGUAAGGUAACGGCUUACCUAGGCGACGAUCCCUAGCUGGUCUGAGAGGAUGAUCAGCCACACUGGGACUGAGGCACGGCCCAG